rnacentral:rRNA from 1 species
UCCAGCUCCAAUAGCGUAUAUUAAAGUUGUUGCGGUUAAAAAGCUCGUAGUUGGAUUUCUGUUGAUAACGGCCGGUCCGCACUAUGUGCGUGUAUCAGGUUCGGUGUCGGCAUCCUCGUGGGGAUCGUUUCUGUGCUUGAUUGCAUGGGGCGGAAUUCACGACUUUUACUUUGAGGAAAUUAGAGUGUUCACGGCAGGCUAUCGCCAGAAUACAUUAGCAUGGAAUAAUACUAUAGGAUCUCGGUUCUAUUUUGUUGGUUUCUAGAAUUGAGAUAAUGAUUAAUAGGGACAAUUGGGGGCAUUCGUAUCAACACGUUAGAGGUGAAAUUCUUGGAUCGUGUUGCGACGAACUACUGCGAAAGCAUUUGCCAAGGAUGUCUUCAUUGAUCAAGAACGAAAGUAAGGGGAUCGAAGACGAUUAGAUACCGUCGUAGUCUUUACCAUAAACUAUGCCAACUAGAGAUGGGACAUCGUUCACUUAAGACUUGUUCCGCACCUUAUGAGAUAUCAAAGUCUUUGGGUUCCGGGGGGAGUAUGGUCGCAAGUCUGAAACUUAAAGGAAUUGACGGAAGGGCACCACCAGGAGUGGAGCCUGCGGCUUAAUUUGACUCAACACGGGGAAACUCACCAGGUCCAGACAUAAUAAGGAUUGACAGAUUGAUAGCUCUUUCUUGAUUUUAUGGGUGGUGGUGCAUGGCCGUUCUUAGUUCGUGGAGUGAUUUGUCUGCUUAAUUGCGUUAACGAACGAGACCUUAACCUGCUAAAUAGGAGCGCCUAUCUCCGGAUAAGCGCCUUUCUUCUUAGAGGGACUUUAUGCGUUUCAGCAUGAGGAAGUUUGAGGCUAAAAC